CCUACGGGAGGCAGCAGUGGGGAAUAUUGCACAAUGGGGGAAACCCUGAUGCAGCGACGCCGCGUGAGUGAAGAAGUAAUUCGUUAUGUAAAGCUCUAUCAGCAGGGAAGAAAAUGACGGUACCUGAGUAAGAAGCCCCGGCUAACUACGUGCCAGCAGCCGCGGUAAUACGUAGGGGGCAAGCGGUAGCCGGAUUUACUGGGUGGAAAGGGAGCGUAGACGGCAGUGCAAGUAUGGAGUGAAAGGCGGGGGCUCAACCCCCGGACUGCUCUGGAAACUGUACGGCUGGAGUGCAGGAGAGGUAAGUGGAAUUCCUAGUGUAGCGGUGAAAUGCGUAGAUAUUAGGAGGAACACCAGUGGCGAAGGCGGCUUACUGGACUGUAACUGACGUUGAGGCUCGAAAGCGUGGGGAGCAAACAGGAUUAGAUACCCGAGUAGUC
rnacentral:rRNA from 1 species